GACGAACGCUGGCGGCGUGCUUAACACAUGCAAGUCGAACGGAAAGGCCCUGCUUUUGUUGGGUGCUCGAUUGGCGAACGGGUGAGUAACACGUGAGUAACCUGCCCUUGUCUUUGUGAUAACUUCAGGAAACUCGGGCUAAUACCGGAUAGGAUCUCCUGCUGCAUGGUGGUGGUUGGAAAGUUUCGGCGGUUGGGGAUGGACUCGCGGCUUAUCAGCUUGUUUGUGGGGUAGUGGCUUACCAAGGCUUUGACGGGUAGCCUGCCUGUGAGGGGGAACGGCGACAAGGGGACUGAGAGACGGACCAGAAGGCAACGGGAGGCAGAAGUGGGGAAUAUUGCAGAAUGGGCGGAAGCCAGAUGCAGAAACGCAGGGUGCGGGAUGACGGCCUUCGGGUUGUAAACAGAUUUCGAAUGUGACGAAGCGUGAGUGACGGUAAUGGGUAAAGAAGCACCGGCUAACUACGUG
rnacentral:rRNA from 1 species